rnacentral:tRNA from 1 species
UGGGAUAUGGCUCAGUUGGUAGAGUGUUUGCCUUGCAUACACAAGACCCUGGGUUCAAUCCCCAGCACCACAC